AUGGCGACUGUUUCAUGAUUGUCCAAACGCAAUACAGGUGUUACAAUAAAUUCUGUGUUUUCGUAUGGACAUCGUAAUACAGAGUGUCACAUGCUUCAUCAA
rnacentral:pre_miRNA from 1 species